rnacentral:rRNA from 1 species
GUGCGAGCAGCCGCGGUAAUACCGGCAGCCCGAGUGAUGGCCGAUCUUAUUGGGCCUAAAGCGUCCGUAGCUGGGUCUGAAAGUCCAUCGGGAAAUCCACCUGCCCAACAGGUGGGCGUCCGGUAGAAACUGGCCGGCUUGGAACCGGAAGGCUCAGAGAGUACGUCCGGGGUAGGAGUGAAAUCCCGUAAUCCCGGACGGACUACCGAUGGCGAAAGCACUCUGAGAAGACGGCUUCGACAGUGAGGGACGAAAGCUCGGGUCUCAAACCGGAUUAGAUACCCCAGUAGUCC